AUUGAACGCUGGCGGCAUGCCUUACACAUGCAAGUCGGACGGCAGCACGGGUGCUUGCACCUGGUGGCGAGUGGCGAACGGGUGAGUAAUACAUCGGAACGUACCUUAUCGUGGGGGAUAACGCAGCGAAAGCCGUGCUAAUACCGCAUUCGCCCUGAGGGGGAAAGCGGGGGAUCGCAAGACCUCGCGCGAUUAGAGCGGCCGAUGCCUGAUUAGCUUGUUGGUGGGGUAAAAGCCCACCAAGGCGACGAUCAGUAGCUGGUCUGAGAGGACGAUCAGCCACACUGGGACUGAGACACGGCCCAGACUCCUACGGGAGGCAGCAGUGGGGAAUUUUGGACAAUGGGGGCAACCCUGAUCCAGCAAUGCCGCGUGAGUGAAGAAGGCCUUCGGGUUGUAAAGCUCUUUUGUCAGGGAAGAAACACCGGCUCUAACACAGUCCGGGAAUGACGGUACCUGAAGAAUAAGCACCGGUUAACUACGUGCCAGCCGCCGCACGUAA
rnacentral:rRNA from 1 species